AUAGAAGAUAGCAAAUCAUUCCUAGCCACUGAGGUUAUCCAAUCACAGCCAAGGUAGGCGGGUCAUGCAAAUAUCACUUCACACCCCACUCCUCCCUUGCCCUUUUGCUUCUUUUUUGGCCACAUGCCUCUCUACUUGUUCCUUCUACCUCUCCCUUGGGCAUUAAGCAGCGCGCGCGCGCGCGCGCGCGCACACACACACACACACACACACACACACAUCGGAUGUCCUCACACCCCGGGCAGCGGAGUCUCUGUGGGCUGCUCUGGAAGAGCCCUGCAGCGUGCGGUUUCUAUGGAAUGGGAACAUGUCAAUUGGCAGGAGCUCAACUUGGAAAGCAAAGCCAUGCCUUGUUGUGUCUUCGAAUUCAGACCAUUUUUUCAUAUACAUCGAAGAUAACAAACAAGGCCUAUAAGUGGAGCCAGUCAAAGGGAGCCCGAAUGCUUCAGGCGCCACCAGAGGCAAGAAGAAUGCUGGGUGGUGGCGAUACUGUUUAGGAAAGAGCCUCUGUAAUUGCUCUACUGGAGAGCCACAUUUGCACAACCCAAUUGUGUGGUGUCCGACUGAGCAAGUUAGCAAAAUAAAGACAGAUGGCAGAUUAACUCCAACCCGCCCACCAGAUGAUGGCAGCCAAUGUGGAGGACUCGGGAAAGCUUCCUGCAGUGUCUUUGCUAGAUGCCACCUAGUGACUCUCCCAAGCACUACAGUCUGCUUGCAGCAUCCACUCAGGCCCUGGUGCGAUUACAAUGAAGACAUAAAGGGAAGUGGCUGGUCCAGAAGCAUGGAGAAAUGGCUCUCGUUCUUCCAAAAUUAUCAACGGAAACAAGGAUUUACAGGAAAAUGUCUGUUAUUCAGGUAACUUUACCCCAAGGACAACACAUCCACCGCUUCCUGGAGAAGCAAGCAUACGAAAACUGACAAAGCAUUUCACGUGCAAUGAAAUGUGCACAUGUGGACCGUACCAAGAGAUUCCCCAUUGAUCCUGUCUCUUCAUACAUGGAGGCUCAGGGUGAUUCAGUCCUACGAGUAGUGCUUACUGUCGACCAGGCUCUGUGGUAAGAAUGUUUACAGCCGGUCCAUUAAACUUUGCAGUAGCCCAGGGAUCAUAACACUGAGGCUGACUUAAAGUCACCUAGUCAGGAAAAUAUCUGCUCUUAACUUCUCCAUAGUUUUGGAGAAUGUGGGUUUGAGUGAUGCUCGAAUCCCAUGCUCCCCCUGUAAGCUAUUCUCAAACAAGAGGCAGCAUUGCAUUAUGAACAGCAGGGAUCCUGUGGCAAACCUGGCCAGUCCUGGCUCUUCUGUUUCAUGCUGCCAUGGUACCCCACCAGCAGGCUUGGUUCCUCCACAUUGCCAAUGCCCUCCUGAUGACGACAGUCAAUAGUGGUGUAGGCUUAGCCUCUUCCUUAUCAGUCUCAUGUCUGGAUAUUGCCUGGCAUCCUUGGCCACCCUCCCGCCUUCUCCCCUUCCUCAGGAUGCCCCACCUAUGUUUGCUUGGUUAUAUAACUGGUUUUAUUAUGUCAACAAAUAUUUGCCAAGCACUUAUAUGCUUUUCAGUGUGCCUAGUCAGACCACACAUGGUGUCUAAUCGAGAAUGAGAAGUGUUCUUACCCAGUAAUAACAUGCUAAUAGUCCUCUUUUUAAAGAAUAUUUUUUGUAUGGCAUUCAUGCUGUAAUCUUCCCCACACCUGCUACUCUGUGAGAAGACAAGGGGUCACUGGUGUGGUUUGUUUAUGGCAUCGAUUAUGAAACAUCACGUUAAAUUUCGAUUCUGCAUGUAACAAUGUUGAAAGGUAAUGGACUUUUACAGAGGUAGUUAGGUCUCGGGAAGUCCAACCUCAUAAACAGGUGAAUGUCUUUUUUGAGAAGCUGAGUCAGGUCUCAGUCUCUCCAGAGUAGUUUCACAGGACUUGAGCAAGUUGCUAUCAAGCAAGAUUGCUUCUGGCUUUUCCACAUCUUGCACAUGCUCACUUCCCCCCUCUGCUGCAUCAGUGGCACACGAGGCCCACACCAGAAGCAGAUACGGAUGCUUGGCUCCUGUGUUUGGUGAUCCAGAACUGUGAGCCAAUAUAUAUACUAAUCACCAUUGGUCUUCUCUGUGUAGCGUUUUCUCAAUAGUACAAUGGCAAAACACAGAGGAUUUGAAAACAGGUAUAACUUGGUUUUGAACAUAGGCUGUAUUACUAAGAGCAGCCUGUGGUCAUAGGACAAUCAUUUAGCUUUUCUAUGCCUCAAUUUGCCUUAUUACAGGAAUGAAAAUCUCUCUUCCUCAUGCAUCAUCACGGGGACUUAGAAAAUGUAUAUGAAGAAUUAGACACAUGGUAGGCAUGUAGUAAGGGUGCUGUACAAAGAAGACCAGGAAGAUGCUGGGGAAGAUACCGAACUCCCCUUUGGAGCUCAGGCAUCCAUUCUCAUGGCUUCAGAAAAGCUCACAAUAAAGAUGUUUUGCUAGGAGGAGGAGGAGGGACACGAAGACCUAAAUGAGCUUAGAUGUUUGCUGCCACUACAGGAGGCUCAACUUCCAAGAGACCGCUCUCUACAGUAGCCGCCAAUAAGCCCAGGGCAUGUACCUCUCAGCAUUGCCACAACUCAAGCUGUAAUGAUCACAAGGAAGAGCUGCUUAUACCUCAGACCACCCCCGAGUGGAUGUUGAUAGGAGUCUUUAACGAGUAACAAGUAGAUUAAUUAUGUCACAUUUACUGUUUGUUUUUAAAUAUGUCAUUCCUCAAUUUUGGUGGCAGUUCUCAGAAAGUUGAUGGUUCUUAGCAAGCCACGAGUCUGGGUCAAAAAGUGUUUUGUUUUUAAAUACUAUAACUGCAAACUGAAUGACUAAUCUGUGAAGUAUAGAGACUAUCAUUAAUGUUUUAUCUCAAAUUAAAAAUAUAUAAA